AUGCACGCUGCCAGAAUGCUUCACACAUGCAAGUCAUUGGCGAAGCUGCGCUUGCGCAGUCUAGCCAAGGCGGACGGGUGAGUAACGCGUAAGGAACUUGCCCUGCAGACAGGGAUAACAGACGGAAACGACUGAUAACACCUGGUAUUGUCAGGCUGGCGCAUGCCGGCCUGAUGAAAGGAGACGCUGCAGGAGAGCCUUGCGUCCUAUUAGCUAGUUGGUGGGGUAACGGCCCACCAAGGCGAUGAUAGGUAGCCGGCCUGAGAGGGUGAACGGCCACAAGGGGACUGAGAUACGGCCCUUACUCCUACGGGAGGCAGCAGUGGGGAAUAUUGGACAAUGGGGGCAACCCUGAUCCAGCAAUUCUGUGUGCACGAAGAAGGUUUUCGGAUUGUAAAGUGCUUUCAGCAGGGAAGAAGAAAGUGACGGUACCUGCAGAAGAAGCGACGGCUAAAUACGUG
rnacentral:rRNA from 1 species